rnacentral:rRNA from 1 species
AGACGCAGCUGGACCUGAAGAAGCUGGUGGUCACGGAAGUUCACGCCGCGAUGGACGACUUCUGGCUGGCGGAGGACCGCCACCAGCGCUACCUGGAGCGGCUGGGCCAGAGCGCAGAGAAGGGCUGCACCUCGACAAUCCGCCGCUAUGGGUGAAAGCCUGGCUCAGCAAAGCCUCGCAGGGCAACGAAAGAGGGGCAACGGGUUCUAA